rnacentral:lncRNA from 1 species
GGGGCCCUGUGUUUACAAUGAUCCAACGUCCAGGGAUAAACGGUGGACUCUUAUAAAAAAAAAAAUCUAUUUUAUAUUUUUUCCAUACAUAAGUUAUACAUUCAUAUUAAUUACACAGAUUGAGUUUGCGUAUAAAUUAUUCACAAUAUUCUACCAGUAAAUAAAAUACAUCAAAAGUCCCCCAAAACACACUAUAAUCUACACAAUAAUUUACCUUUACUUAUACAAUUGACAUUUUAUUUUUUGUACUUUUAACACCUGGAUUACAUUGUUAUGUGUCGGUCAGUGAUUUUAUAGGUCACAUGCUCGACCUUGUAAAUGCGUGUAUUGUAUAUUUCUAUAGUUGGAUGUAUUAUUAUGUUCUAAAAAGAAAAGGAAAGUAAGUACAAAUUAUUACGUCACUUACUAAUGUAUAAGAUUUGUUAUAAGUUUUAUUUCAGC